rnacentral:lncRNA from 1 species
CAAAGUCUUUUCUUUAUGGGCUUGAUACAUUUUCUUCUUGGGUUCUUUACCAGUCCUCUGCUUGAUGGUUGUAUCAGUGUCCUGGGACUGCCACAGUCCCAAUGGCUUAAGACAACAGAGAUUUAUUCUCUCACUGUCUGGAGGUCAGAAGUCCAAAAAUCAAGGUAUUGCAUGGCCACACCAUCUCCAGGGCUGUAGGGAAGACUCUUUCCUCGACUCUCCCAGUUUUUGGAGGCUACUGGAAGUUUUGA